AAAGGUGCGUGCCGCUUGCGGCCGGCGUACAGGUGCUGCAUGGCUGUCGUCAGCUCGUGCUGUGAAGUGUUGGGUUAAGUCCGCAACGAGCGCAACCCCUGCUGCCUGUUGCCACCACGAGAGGUGGGGACUCAGGACGGGACCGCCGGUGGCAAAACCGGAGGAAGGUGGGGACGACGUCAAGUCAUCAUGGCCCUUAUGUCCUGGGCUACACACGUGCUACAAUGGCCGGUACAGAGCGCAGCGAGGCCGCGAGGCGGAGCGAAUCGCUUAAAGCCGGUCCCAGUACGGAUUGGAGUCUGCAACCCGACUCCAUGAAGUUGGAAUCGCUAGUAAUCGCGCAUCAGCAUGGCGCGGUGAAUACGUUCCCGGGCCUU
rnacentral:rRNA from 1 species